GUCUAUGGCCAUGCUACCCUGAACACGCCUGAUUUCAUCUGAUCUCGGAAGCUAAGCAGGGUCGGGCCUGGUUACUGGUUAGUACUUGGAUGGGAGACCACCUAGGAAGACAAGGAGCUUUAGGCA
rnacentral:rRNA from 1 species